GUAGGGAAUAUUGGGCAAUGGGGGAAACCCUGACCCAGCAACGCCGCGUGAGGGAAGAAGGCCUAACGGUUGUAAACCUCUGUCAUAUGGGAAGAAGGAAUGACAGUACCAUAUGAGGAAGCUCCGGCUAACUACGUGCCAGCAGCCGCGGUAAUACGUAGGGGGCGAGCGUUGUCCGGAAUUACUGGGCGUAAAGGGUGCGUAGGUGGCCUUUUAAGUUGGAUGUGAAAUACCCGGGCUUAACUUGGGGGGUGCAUCUAAUACUGGAGGGCUAGAGUGCAGGAGAGGGAAGCGGAAUUCCUAGUGUAGCGGUGAAAUGCAUAGAUAUUAGGAGGAACACCAGUGGCGAAGGCGGCUUGCUGGACCAAAACUGACGCUGAAGCACGAAAGCGUGGGUAGCAAACAGGAUUAGAUACCCUGGUAGUCC
rnacentral:rRNA from 1 species